UACGGGGGGGGCAAGCGUUGUUCGGAAUUACUGGGCGUAAAGGGCUCGUAGGCGGCCCUCUCAGUCGGAUGUGAAAUCCCCAGGCUUAACCUGGGAAUGGCAUCCGAUACUGGAGGGCUUGAAUUCGGGAGAGGGAUGCAGAAUUCCAGGUGUAGCGGUGAAAUGCGUAGAUAUCUGGAGGAACACCGGUGGCGAAGGCGGCAUCCUGGACCGAGAUUGACGCUGAGGCGCGAAAGCCAGGGGAGCAAACGGG
rnacentral:rRNA from 1 species